AGAGUUUGAUCCUGGCUCAGGAUAAACGCUGGCGGCGCACAUAAGACAUGCAAGUCGAACGGAAGUCGUUAUAAAAAGGAUUGAAGAUUUAUCUGAUUGAGAUUUUAUAACAAUGGCUUUAGUGGCGGACUGGUGAGUAACGCGUAAGCAAUCUGCCUGUUAGAGGGGAAUAACAAUGAGAAAUCAUUGCUAAUACCGCAUAUGCCAUAGUUAUCACAUGAUAAUAGUGGGAAAGGAGCAAUUCGCUAACAGAUGAGCUUGCGUCUGAUUAGAUAGUUGGUGGGGUAACGGCCUACCAAGUCGAUGAUCAGUAGCCGAACUGAGAGGUUGAUCGGCCACAUUGGGACUGAGAUACGGCCCAGACUCCUACGGGAGGCAGCAGUCGGGAAUAUUGCGCAAUGGAGGAAACUCUGACGCAGUGACGCCGCGUAUAGGAAGAAGGUUUUCGGAUUGUAAACUAUUGUCGUUAGGGAAGAAAAAAGACAGUACCUAAGGAGGAAGCUCCGGCUAACUACGUGCCAGCAGCCGCGGUAAUACGUAGGGAGCGAGCGUUAUCCGGAUUUAUUGGGUGUAAAGGGUGCGUAGACGGGUUAGCAAGUUAGUUGUGAAAUCCCUCGGCUUAACUGAGGAACUGCAACUAAAACUGUUAAUCUUGAGUGCAGGAGAGGUAAGUGGAAUUCCUAGUGUAGCGGUGAAAUGCGUAGAUAUUAGGAGGAACACCAGUGGCGAAGGCGACUUACUGGACUGUAACUGACGUUGAGGCACGAAAGUGUGGGGAGCAAACAGGAUUAGAUACCCUGGUAGUCCACACCGUAAACGAUGGAUACUAGGUGUAGGAGAUAUUAAGUCUUCUGUGCCGUCGCAAACGCAGUAAGUAUCCCACCUGGGGAGUACGGCCGCAAGGUUGAAACUCAAAGGAAUUGACGGGGGCCCGCACAAGCAGUGGAGUAUGUGGUUUAAUUCGACGCAACGCGAAGAACCUUACCAAGGCUUGACAUAUACAGGAAUAACUAAGAAAUUAGUUAGCUCUUCGGAGUCUGUAUACAGGUGGUGCAUGGUUGUCGUCAGCUCGUGUCGUGAGAUGUUGGGUUAAGUCCCGCAACGAGCGCAACCCCUAAUAUUAGUUGCCAGCGAGUAAUGUCGGGAACUCUAAUAUGACUGCCGGUGAUAAAUCGGAGGAAGGUGGGGACGACGUCAAAUCAUCAUGCCCUUUAUGUCUUGGGCUACACACGUACUACAAUGGCUAUAACAAAGAGAAGCGAGACAGUGAUGUGGAGCAAAACUCAAAAAAAUAGUCUCAGUUCGGAUUGAAGGCUGAAAUUCGCCUUCAUGAAGCUGGAAUUGCUAGUAAUGGCAGGUCAGCAUACUGCCGUGAAUACGUUCCCGGGCCUUGUACACACCGCCCGUCACACCAUGAGAGUUGGAAAUACCCGAAGCCUGUGAGCUAACCUAAGAGGCAGCAGUCGAAGGUAGAGCCAAUGAUUGGGGUGAAGUCGUAACAAGGUAGCCGUAUCGGAAGGUGCGGCUG
rnacentral:rRNA from 1 species